UUUCCGUAGGUGAACCUGCGGAAGGAUCAUUCAUAAUAAGUGUUUUAUGGCACUUUUUAAAUCCAUAUCCACCUUGUGUGCAAUGUCAGGGUUGAUUUUUCUCUCGAGAGGAUCAACCCCAAACAUCAACUAUAUCUCAACCCUUUGUCUGAAAAAUACUAUGAAUAAAACAAUUCAAAAUACAACUUUCAACAACGGAUCUCUUGGCUCUC
rnacentral:misc_RNA from 1 species